AGCGAACGCUGGCGGCAGGCCUAACACAUGCAAGUCGAACGAAGUCUUCGGACUUAGUGGCGGACGGGUGAGUAACACGUGGGAACGUGCCUUUAGGUUCGGAAUAACUCAGGGAAACUUGUGCUAAUACCGAAUGUGCCCUUCGGGGGCAAGAUUUAUCGCCUUUAGAGCGGCCCGCGUCUGAUUAGCUAGGUGGUGAGGUAAAGGCUCACCAAGGCUACGAUCAGUAGCUGGUCUGAGAGGAUGACCAGCCACAUUGGGACUGAGACACGGCCCAAACUCCUACGGGAGGCAGCAGUGGGGAAUCUUGCGCAAUGGGCGAAAGCCUGACGCAGCCAUGCCGCGUGGAUGAUGAAGGUCUUAGGAUUGUAAAAUCCUUUCACCGGUGAAGAUAAUGACUGUAGCCGGAGAAGAAGCCCCGGCUAACUUCGUGCCAGCAGCCGCCGUAAUAC
rnacentral:rRNA from 1 species